rnacentral:rRNA from 1 species
UCAAUUUUUUAUAGCCUCUGGCUAUAGGAAAUUGUUAGUGGCAGACGGGUGAGUAAUGCGUAGGAAUCUACCUAGUAGUACGGAAUAGCCAUUAGAAAUGGUGGGUAAUACUGUAUAAUCCCCGAGGGGGAAAGAUUUAUCGCUAUUAGAUGAGCCUACGUUAGAUUAGCUAGUUGGUGAGGUAAUGGCUUACCAAGGCUAUGAUCUAUAGCUGGUCUGAGAGGACGAUCAGCCACACUGGAACUGAGAUACGGUCCAGACUCCUACGGGAGGCAGCAGUGGGGAAUAUUGGACAAUGGGCGAAAGCCUGAUCCAGCUAUGCCGCGUGAGUGAAGAAGGC